rnacentral:rRNA from 1 species
UAUGUGAUCGUCUCUCGCAUAUCAAUAAGCGGAGGAAAAGAAACUAACAAGGAUUCCCCUAGUAACGGCGAGUGAAGCGGGAAGAGCUCAAAUUUGAAAUCUUAAAGGGUUUCCCUUUACGAAUUGUAGUUUAAAGAAGUGUUUUCUGUUGAGGUUUUGGUAAAAGUUCUUUGGAAUAGGACAUCAUAGAGGGUGAGAAUCCCGUAUUUGACCUUUACUUUCAACUUUGUGAUACACUUUCAAAGAGUCGGAUUGUUUGGGAAUGCAGUCCAAAAUGGGUGGUAAAUUUCAUCUAAAGCUAAAUAUUGGCGAGAGACCGAUAGCGAACAAGUACCGUGAGGGAAAGAUGAAAAGAACUUUGAAAAGAGAGUUAAACAGUACGUGAAAUUGUCAAAAGGGAAGCGUUUGACACCAGUGUUGUUUUUCUGAAAAUCAAUUAAAGAACUGUUUAUGCUAAGUUGUUCUAGACUUUAUCAGCUAACUGUUUAGUUUUGAGCUUUUCUUUAAUGCACUUUUCAGUUAACAAGUCAACAUCAAUUUCUUUUGCUGUAAAAAAGCUUGAGGAAGGUGGCUUGAGAUUCGUCUUAAGUGUUUAUAGCCUCUUGCCUAUGCAGUCGGAGAGAUUGAGGUCUGCAGCGUAGAUCCUUCGGGGCUAAAUGCAUUUGUGCUAAGUUAUAGCAUUUUAUAGACAACUUGUUGACUAUGAUUUGUCUUGUAGCUUACUCGCUUAUGUUAUUUUACCUACGCUUAGGAUGUUGAUCUACAGAGCGAGAGU